AUCGCUUCUCGGCCUUUUGGCUAAGAUCAAGUGUAGUAUCUAAAUGUAUAUUUGAUACAACGUAAGUCUUU
rnacentral:snRNA from 1 species